rnacentral:rRNA from 1 species
UAACACAUGCAAGUCGAACGAUGAAGCCCAGCUUGCUGGGUGGAUUAGUGGCGAACGGGUGAGUAACACGUGAGUAACCUGCCCUUGACUUUGGGAUAAGCCUGGGAAACUGGGUCUAAUACCGGAUAGGAACGUCCACCGCAUGGUGGGUGUUGGAAAGAUUUAUCGGUCAUGGAUGGACUCGCGGCCUAUCAGCUUGUUGGUGAGGUAAUGGCUCACCAAGGCGACGACGGGUAGCCGGCCUGAGAGGGUGACCGGCCACACUGGGACUGAGACACGGCCCAGACUCCUACGGGAGGCAGCAGUGGGGAAUAUUGCACAAUGGGCGAAAGCCUGAUGCAGCGACGCCGCGUGAGGGAUGACGGCCUUCGGGUUGUAAACCUCUUUCAGUAGGGAAGAAGCGAAAGUGACGGUACCUGCAGAAGAAGCACCGGCUAACUACGUGCCAGCAGCCGCGGUAAUACGUAGGGUGCGAGCGUUAUCCGGAAUUAUUGGGCGUAAAGAGCUCGUAGGCGGUUUGUCGCGUCUGUCGUGAAAGUCCCGGGGCUUAACCCCGGAUCUGCGGUGGGUACGGGCAGGCUAGAGUGCAGUAGGGGAGACUGGAAUUCCUGGUGUAGCGGUGGAAUGCGCAGAUAUCAGGAGGAACACCGAUGGCGAAGGCAGGUCUCUGGGCUGUAACUGACGCUGAGGAGCGAAAGCAUGGGGAGCGAACAGGAUUAGAUACCCUGGUAGUCCAUGCCGUAAACGUUGGGCACUAGGUGUGGGGACCAUUCCACGGUUUCCGCGCCGCAGCUAACGCAUUAAGUGCCCCGCCUGGGGAGUACGGCCGCAAGGCUAAAACUCAAAGGAAUUGACGGGGGCCCGCACAAGCGGCGGAGCAUGCGGAUUAAUUCGAUGCAACGCGAAGAACCUUACCAAGGCUUGACAUGUUCUCGAUCGCCGUAGAGAUACGGUUUCCCCUUUGGGGCGGGAUCACAGGUGGUGCAUGGUUGUCGUCAGCUCGUGUCAUGAGAUGUUGGGUUUAGUCCCGCAACGAGCGCAACCCUCGUUCCAUGUUGCCAGCACGUGAUGGUGGGGACUCAUGGAAUACUGCCGGGGUCAACUCGGAGGAAGGUGGGGACGACGUCAAAUCAUCCUGCCCCUUAUGUCUUGGGCUUCACGCAUGCUACAAUGGGCCGGUACAAUG